rnacentral:misc_RNA from 1 species
UUUUGCUAUUGCUUCUUGUGCUCAGACGACAAAUAUCAUAAAGAGUAUAGGUGGCCUUGGGCGGACGCGAGCCAGCCGGGGCCGGCAGCGGACGAGCCGCAGGUCCGCCAAAGCAAUAAGGGUGCGUUUUCAGGGGUGGAGAUAGAACUCCCCCGGGGGGGAGAGCAUUUCUCUUAAUGAUCCUUCCGCAGGUUCACCUACGGAAA